UCCUCUACCAUACGGGCGACGAUAGCCCUC
rnacentral:sRNA from 1 species